AAUGCAAUAUUAAUUGUUGUAUGAUAAAAUAAUUAUAAUAUGUUAGUAAUAAUUAUUUAUCAAAUUGAAACAGACCCCACCAACCCAUCCCCGCCAAAAAAAAAAAAAAGGAAAAAGGGGGCAGCGGGAAAAAAUUCCAAUCCACCUUCAACAAGGGUAAAGGUGAUCGAAAAUUUGCAGUAGGUUGUAGAAUUUGUUCCAACCAGCACACUCCACGUGUCACCUGUUGUUGGACUCCAACCCCACAAUUCCAAUUUGGUUGUGCAUGUCACUUCACAUCCGUCUCCACAGCAACAAAAUCAGUAGUAGCUCCUCUCCCAUUACUGACAAAUACAGUGCCACCUUUUUCAGUUAUAUAUGUGAAAAUUUCAUCUGGGGUUUCUUUAUUUUCUUGUGUUAAAGAAUGGAUCUUUUUGGUUGAGUUAGUGAAACUGGAGGUAUUAUUAGAGACCCCUUUUUUGUGCUUAUGUAUAUUUUGUUGUAUUUGCAUGCAUUUUAUGAGAAAACUACAAGUGGGGUUUCUUUAUUUUCUUGUUUUUUUUUUUUUUUUUUAAUUUAUGUUAAAGAAUGGAUUGUUGUGGUUUGAGUAAGUGAAAAUGGAGGUAUGAUCAAAGCCCAAAGGCCCCUUUUAGUUCUUGUUUAUUCAAGGUUCUUUUUCCUCUCCUUAUGUAUAUUUUUGUUGUAGUAAGACACCUUACAAUCUACUGAGGAAAAAUGGCGGAAUCCAUAGGAAGGAAAAGAGAGGAUAAGAAGAGGGAAAAAGCAGCACCUGAGGAUUGGGAAAUGGAGUAUUCAUACGAGGAAAAUAUGCUAAAAGCAUAUCUUAAUCCUGACAGACAAGGAUGUGGGAUAUGGGAGAAGAAAAAUCGAUCAUGGGAAUUACAAAAUGGCUUAGUACCCACAGUUGAGGAUUGGGAAAAUGGAGUACUCAUUCGAGGAGAAGAGGCUAAAAUCACAUCUCGACAAAGAUGGAGGAUAUUAUAGGUGGGAAAAACAAAAUUGGCUUUGGGAAAGGGAGAAUCAUCGGGUACCAUUUGAAGAAGGGGAGGAGGAGAGGAAGCAAAAAGAAGUUCGCUUUUUACUGUCAUCGCUGUCACUAAAGGAUCCGAAGAAAGAAGAGAGGUUACUUGAACUUCAUAGGAAAGGUCUAAGAGAGGAAGAGAAAAAAAUAAAAGAGUCUUAAUUGGUGUCUCGGUUUGAGCAAAGAACACGAACGUGUGCCCUCAAGGGAGGAGGAGCUGCAAAAACGGGAGGGGAGACGAGAAGAACUUGCAGCACAAGGAAGAUGUCUUGAUGGGAACUAUCUAACCCCAUAUUGCAAGUGCGACAGACAAUGCUAUCGAUUUGAUACAACUUUGAAGGAUCAUCCCCAAGAAUGUCUCCCAAUUUGGCUCGCAUAUUGUCGCCAGUAUUGCCAAUCACAUUGUUUUGACAUUGAUGACUGCAUUGAUGGAGUAUGUCCGUUAGGACCAUCUCACUGUUUCGGAGGCAUGACUGAGAUUAUGAUGGAACUGGCUAGCCAUGCUAUCAAGGAAUAUAACGAGAAAUAGUGCAAUGUUUUCAAGUACAAGGUUUUGAAGAUUGAGAAAGUGAAUUAUACUGUGGGAAUGUACAAUACAUAUUGGAUGACUGUCAAAGUAUUAAAUCUGACUCUUGGUACUCCUAUCGAAACUUUUCAAAUCCAUGCUGCUACAAGUUGCAUCUAUAAUGAUAAAGUGAUCUUCUGAUGCCGGCCUAAAGAAGAGGCCAUAGUUGGUUUGCCAAGCUGCGAGUUUUGUUUUGGCCUGCUGUCAGAGGUUUGUGUCACGGAAGGAAAGGAACCAUAGUUAUUUAAAGUGUUCUACUCCAAGCUGCGGGUUUUAUUUUGGCGUGCUGCUAGAGAGGCCUGGAUUUUAGUUUUGUAAAAAUUUAGGCACUUUCAGGACACUCAUCCAUAUAGCUGCUUCUAAAAUAUCUUCGCCUUGAUCAGUUUGUAGGCGUAGGCUGGGGAUUGUGCCUAUGACUUGUAGUUGCGCUUAUUCAUAUUGAUUGUUAAAAGUCAUCCUCUUUUAACUGAACUGUUUAGGCCACCUUUUUACUUAAUAAGUAUUGAAGGACAAAAAUGAAAGACUGAUCAAUUAAGGACUCAGUUGAUUCA